UUAAGCAUAUCAAUAAGCGGAGGAAAAGAAACUAACAAGGAUUCCCCUAGUAACUGCGAGUGAAGCGGGAAAAGCUCAAAUUUGAAAUCUGGCAGUUCUUCACUGUCCGAGUUGUAAUCUAGAGAAGUGUUACCUGUGCUGGACCGUGUACAAGUCUUCUGGAAUGAAGCAUCAUAGAGGGUGAGAAUCCCGUCUUUGACAUGGACUACCAGUACAUUAUGGUGCGCUCUCAAAGAGUCGAGUUGUUUGGGAAUGCAGCUCAAAAUGGGUGGUAAAUGCCAUCUAAAGCUAAAUAUUGGCGAGAGACCGAUAGCGAACAAGUACCGUGAGGGAAAGAUGAAAAGAACUUUGGAAAGAGAGUUAAACAGUACGUGAAAUUGCUGAAAGGGAAACGCUUGAAGUCAGUCGCGUUGGCUGGAAAUCAACCUGGCUUUUGCCUGGUGUACUUUCUGGUUGACGGGUCAGCAUCAAUUUUGACUGCUGGAUAAAGUCACUGGGAAUGUAGCAUCUUUGGAUGUGUUAUAGCCCGUUGUCGCAUACAGUGGUUGGGAUUGAGGAACUCAGCACGCCGCAAGGCCGGGUUUUUUAAACCACGUUCGUGCUUAGGAUGCUGGCAUAAUGGCUUUAAUCGACCCGUCUUGAAAC
rnacentral:rRNA from 1 species